AACUGAAUUCAAAUAUAAAACCAUAUUUUGUUAUGACGAGUUUUAAUGAAUUUCUGAAGCUAGCAACAACACAAGCAACAAUUAUAAUUAAUAGUCAUGAAAAAUAAAAUACGGGAUGAUUUUAAUGAUAAACAAAGCAGAAGAAGACAAGUUUUAUUCCUUUAAAAAUGGUAUCUGAUUAGUGAACAUCGCUGCAAUUUUCAACGUUCAAAACAAGAUUCAUGAUUUAUUGAAUAAAAAUAAAAACAUUC
rnacentral:sRNA from 1 species